rnacentral:snRNA from 1 species
CGCUGUCGAUUCUCUGGGGCUUGGCUCUGCGUAAUGACAGAAUCAAGGGGGAACAGGCUUGCAGAAAAGUUGACAGAGCCCCAUCCUUUUCCCAGGUGGCGGUGGAAG